rnacentral:rRNA from 1 species
CACGUAGUUAGCCGGGGCUUCUUAGUCAGGUACCGUCAUUUUCUUCCCUGCUGAUAGAAGUUUACAUACCGAAAUACUUCUUCCUUCACGCGGCGUUGCUGCAUCAGGGUUUCCCCCAUUGUGCAAUAUUCCCCACUGCUGCCUCCCGUAGGAGUUUGGGCCGUGUCUCAGUCCCAAUGUGGCCGUUCACCCUCUCAGGCCGGCUACUGAUCGUCGCCUUGGUGAGCCCUUACUCACCAACCAGCUAAUCAGACGCGGGUCCAUCUCAUACCACCGGAGUUUUUCACACCGUCCCAUGCGAGACCGUGCGCUUAUGCGGUAUUAGCAGUCAUUUCUAACUGUUAUCCCCCUGUAUGAGGCAGGUUACCCACGCGUUACUCACCCGUCCGCCACUCAGUCAAAUAAGACUUCAAACCGAAGUAAUCCGUCUUAAGUGCUUCGUUCGACUUGCAUGUGUUAAGCACGCCGCCAGCGUUCAUCCUGAGCCAGGAUCAAACUCU